GCAAAUCCCGUAGGCCAGUGUAAUGAGACCGUUUGCGUGAGUUGGAGCCUGCGACGUGCGAUGGUGGGGUGGUGCUUUUGAAGCAUGUCUGUCGCUGAAAGGUGAAUUUCUUUUCUUCUUCCUGCUACUGGAAGAAUUUGCCUGCAGGGUUUGUGGUGAUAAAGUAUGUGUGAUUAGAAGUACAACCAGAAUAAGCUAGAUAAGUAGCGUUCUCGCACACCUCUUUAUCCUGUAAGUUAUCCUCUGCAGGGGAUUAGGUGUGUAAGACAAGCAUUAAGGCUUUAAUAGCAAACAAACUGCUUUCUCUGGCUAAUGGUACAUCUCUUGUAUCUCCAUGAUGUGGACACUCUUCAGCCUGGUUCUUGUCAGCUCCCUUUUUGUACUCAAAAGCGAAGCACUGCAGUGUUACACCUGUGUAGGUUCUAGCGAUGAAGACUGUAACAGACAAGGGACUCAGCAGUGUCCGGGGUAUUCUGAUGCGUGUGCGAUCAUUAGAGGACAAGCAAGUCCUUCUGCGAGCGGGCACGGAGGGACGGGGCCAGAGCACCUGGGAUGAGCGUUCACUGCUGCUACUCAAGCAACUGCAAUGCAAAAAGCCUGGCUUCAGGAGUCACCAGCUCCGUGAGCUACUUCUCUCUCCUUGUCUUGACAUUGUUGGGGCACCCGUUGUUGAAGUUGACAUGAAGAGGAGGAGUGGGGGGAAGAGUGUCCUGAAGCAACAAGUCUGCCUUUAUAGAAAAGGAUGAUUGCAUUUCCUAAUCGCAUUGCUCCAUGUACUAUAUUUCUCAGGCAAAAAAAAAGCAGUAGGCAGACCUGACAUGUUCAGAUAAAAAUUGUUUCAUCUGCUAAAUAUGUCUUGACCUAUACGUAAGUAACGCUGCCCUCUUCUUGUGUAUAAGGGGUUGAUUGUGUGAAUAUGUAACAUUUUCCUACAAUUUAGACAGUACAUAUAAAGAGAAAAAGAAAUCUUAGCUGCAAGUAGCCCCAUAGUAGGGUAAAGGAUCAGUAUCUUCCAAAUGCUGUUUACUGUUGGCAGACAUUCAAAAGCAAGCUAGAAUUUUCAAGCACAAAGUGACGGAAAAUUCUAGCAAGCAAAUUAGUCUUUCAGAGAACAUUUGCGAGCUUGACAAAACCAGAAAACUUGAAAUAAAGAUGAUUUAGUAUUAAUACA
rnacentral:lncRNA from 1 species